UAACACGUGGGGAACCUGCCCCAUAGUCUGGGAUACCACUUGGAAACAGGUGCUAAUACCGGAUAAGAAAGCGGAUCGCAUGAUCAGCUUUUAAAAGGCGGCGUAAGCUGUCGCUAUGGGAUGGCCCCGCGGUGCAUUAGCUAGUUGGUAAGGUAAAGGCUUACCAAGGCGAUGAUGCAUAGCCGAGUUGAGAGACUGAUCGGCCACAUUGGGACUGAGACACGGCCCAAACUCCUACGGGAGGCAGCAGGG
rnacentral:rRNA from 1 species